CAAAUUACAAAUUUUAAAAUGCCAAUCCUUUUGUAGUUCAUAAAUGUGAUGAUUGGGUUCUCACAUGUGAGGUGUGUGAGACGUGCUUCAUUCAAACCCUGUUACAACAUCCGCACAUACCCUGUCUGUCAUGAAAGAAAAAAAAUUAAAAAAGAAUAAAAUGUUGACAAAUAUACCACAAACAUCAAAAGUCCAGGACAAAUUAUGCAAUUCUUUUAUUAAUGAAUUACCUUAUAUAUACCUUUAUAAUUCUUUUGAAUUUUAAUAUAAUCAAUAAUUCUGAAUAAAUACACAAAGCUACAUGAAAUUAAGGUAUAUAGAAGAGUAAGUAAAAUAGAUUUUAAACAUCAUUGCAUUAAGCUACCUACUUGUCAUUAUUCUUAUACUAUGUACAUGGACUUAUUUUAUAAAUAUGUGUGGUGAUUUUAUCAUUGGAAUGUUUCUUUAGGUUGUUGUGAUUCAUUGAUGAAUACUUUUUCAUUCUCUUUUGUCUAAAGCUGCUCUUUGUCUUUAGGAUGCGAUGUGAUCCAACAUGUUGGGAUGCAUAAAAUACAUGACUAAACAAACAGGCACAGUCAUUGUGAACCUGGCACUGGUCUGUGUCCUACAAUCACAGGAUUUCUGAUAAAUUCUAUUUUGUGUGAUUUACCUCAAAAAAUAAAAAAUAUUGGGUUUAUAAUUGCAUACACUGCUUAUCAUGUAUAUUCUCAACAGGACAGAACUUCCAUUUUGAUCAGGCGUCUUUGAGAAUUAAAUCCUCUGCUCAGACUUUUACAUAACUGAAGAUUGGCAGAAUUUUCCACAGGCUAGCUUCUGGGUUCAUACUUUUGAAAACUUUGUCUACGUGAUUACCUACAGACUUCCAAUGCCAAGUGCAAUAGGUUACAUUCAAAUCACAAUAUGACCUCUAGCAUUGCACCUGUCUGUCAGAUAUUGGCUGAGCAGCAAAGGAGCAUUGGAAAUAUUGCUGGAAGCCAUUCCUGCACCACGAUAGCUAACAAUAACUUAGAUAUGGAAGUGAACCACAUAAAAAUAAUCUUCUUAACCCAAACUCUAUGCCUUUUCAAGUCAGCUUCCCCUUAGCUGAAUCCAAUCACCCCUUGCCUCUUUAAGAUCACCCUUGGCCAGGCGCAGUGGCUCAUGCCUGUAAUCCCAACACUUUGGAGGGCCAAGGAAGGCGGAUCACCUGAGGUCAGAAGUUUGAGAACAGCGUGGCCAACAUGGGGAAACCCCGUUUCUACUAAAAAUAUAAUAACAAAAAAAAUUAACUGGGUGUGGUGGUGCGUGCCUGUAAUUCCAGCUACUUGGGAGGCUGAAGCAGGGGAAUCACUUGAAACCCGGAGGCGGAGGUUGCCGUGAGCUGAGAUCAUGACACUGCAUGCCAGCUUGGGUGACAGAGCGAGACUCCGUCUCCAAAACAAACAAACAAAAAGACCACCCUACAGAAGAGCAAGUGUAACAGAGGGUAAGCUGGAGAGGAAAGAGACAGAGGUCUUAACCGAUUGUAGUUAACAUAGCUCCCAAGUUUUACAAAAGCUUAUGACUAUGGGAACACAUUUCUCGGGCCCCAAGCAUGAAAAGGGCUCAUGAAAGGGAGGGGUCCUAGAACUUCAUUAACAUCAUAGUAAUUUGCCUUGCCAACCAGGAAUGAGCCCUGCUUGGAUGGACCACCUGCUCACAGUGUAUUUACAUUUACAGAAUUGGCACACUGGUGUGCUUGUGGGCAAAUGCAGGUUAAUAUGUGUUACUGUCAGAGUUUAGCAGUUGGUCAACCUCCAACAGGAGUCAGCAACGGUGUAGAAUUUCCCUGAGUUUUAAAUGUAUGUCUUAGCCCUAAAGGCCUUUGGAAAGUUAUUGGUCUUAUUAGUGAGUUCAUAUGCCAUUGAAAGAUGUUUGACUAGAAAAUGACAUUUUAGUAAACGGGUAAGGAAGAGACUUACGAAAAAAGGACCAUGAAGACACUGGGAAAAUUAAAGAGAGCCCAGUAAGAUGUCUUAUCAGUUUAUGAUUCUCUUUUGUACACUAGUAAUUUAUAAGGGAACAGUCACAGUUAGGAAUGAUUUCAGCUACAUGUAACAUAAUAGUUAACUAAUGGUGGCUUAAAUAAUAAAGAUAAUUAACUCUUAGAACAAAAAGUCUGAAGGUAGGUGACUGAUAACUCUGUUAUUUUAGGACUCUGUCACUAUCUUUACGAUUCUUAAGGUAAAAAUAUGAUUGUCACAGCUCUGGGAAUCAUUUGUUCAAAGGCAGAAAACAGGAGGCAGCUAGAUAGUGUGUGUCUAUCUCUUUUCAGUAAAGAGGAGAAAUCUUUCCUAAGCAAUUACCUAUCAGAAUUGCUCUUUAAAUCUCAUUGGCCAAAACUGGGCACAUGGGCACCCCUAGCUGCAAGGAGGAGUUGGGAAAGUGAAUAUCUGGCAAAAGGGUAUGAGAGUUUGUUGAUUGGCUUAGACUUGUCAUGCUUUAUCUUUCAGGACUGGGCACAUAGCUGUCCUGAGAAAGAAUAUGGAUUUUAUUAGUAAGGAAUAAAAGGGAUAUGGCUAUUGGGUGGCAACAAAUGGCAGAUGCAACCAGAACCUUUGGGUUGAGUAAAACUAUCUUUUUACUUAGCAAUUAUCAAACUAACAUGAAUUAAGAACACACAUGAAUACAAACAAUAAUUUCGUUAGCAAAUAUUCUGUGCUAGGAACUUGGUACUAGAUGUUAGAUAUAUAUUAUCUGCAAUUUUCACAGCAGUCCUGCAAGAUGAAUAUUCUCCCUGUUUUCAGAAAGAUUAGGUUAUAUCCCAAUUAGAGAAAUAAGUAGCUCUAUUCUGACUUCUAUCAUUGAAGUCUUGCCUUUCUUGAACUUCAAAUCAAUUAAAUCAUAUAGGAGGUACUUUUUGGUUUCCAACUUCUCUUGCUCAAUAUUAGAUUCUGGACUCAUUCAUGUUGUUAAUGAAUACCAUGAAUAACUUAUUUUUUAGUGCUGUGUACUUAUUGUUUGAAAAAAAUCAAAAUUUAUUCAUUUUACUGUAGAUUGACAUUUGGGUUGUUCCUAGUUUAGUGAAAUGAUUAAAGUAAUUAAGAUUAUUAUAUGUGAUAUGAUUAGAUCAUAAAUUAUAUGAUUAUAUAGCUAUAUGAGUAGGUGACUAAUAUAUAAGUAUAUAUCUUAUUAUAUAUUAUAUAACAUAUUAUAUUUACAGAACCGACCAAAAUAAAUCUGACAAAAAGUACUCCUUUUUGUUGGAUUUGCAAUUUGUUGGAUUUAUAUACAAGAGUAAAAUAAAGUAUUUUUAGCUUUAGUAGAUACUCUCUAAAAGAUUUCCAAAGUAGUUGUACCAAGUUACACUCCCAUCAGCAAAUUAUGAGAGAUUUAUUUGCCAAUGGUUGGCUUUGUUAUAUAUAUUAUUUUAGAAGGUAGUAAGGAAUAUGGUAUGUGCUAUGGAAAAGGAGAAGUUGGGCAAGAUAAAGGGGAUUGGAAGUACUGGGGGAAAGUAGAGCAGUUUGAAAUUUUAAAUAUGUGGUCAGGAUUGGCUUUUAUUUAUUUGUUUUUUUGACAGGGUCUUGCUCUGUUGCCCAGGCUGGAGUGCAGUGGCAUGAUCAUGGCUCACACUGCAGCCUCAACCUCCCAGGCUCAAGCAGUCCUCCUGCCUCCCAAGUAGCUAGGACUAUAGGUGUGUGCCACCGUCCUCUACGAAAAAUAUAUUUUGUAUUUUUUGUAGAGAUGGGGUUUUGCCGUGUUGCCCAGGCUGGUC
rnacentral:lncRNA from 1 species